CUAGCACAUUCCUGACGCUGAGAUACGAAAGCGUGGGUAGCGAAUGGGAUUAGAUACCCCAGUAGUCCACGCCCUAAACGAUGUCUGUUAGCUCUUUGGAGUAUCGACCCUCUGAGGGGCAAAGCUAACGCGUUAAACAGACCGCCUGGGUAGUACGGCCGCAAGGCUAAAACUCAAAGGAAUAGACGGGGGCUCGCACAAGCGGUGGAUCAUGUGGCUUAAUUCGAUGCUACACGAAGAACCUUACCAAGACUAGAAAUUCAAAUGACGAUCUUAGGAAACUAAGAUUUCCUUCGGGCAUUUGGACAGGUGUUGCAUGGCCGUCGUCAGUUCGUGAUUUGAAUUGUUCCCUUAAGUGGGGAAACGAACGCAACCCCUAUUGUCUGUUAUACGUGUCAGGCGAGACUGCUACCUCACGGUAGAGGAAGGUGGGGAUGACGCCAGGUCAGCAUGACCCUUGAUGUCUUGGGCUGCACACAUGAUACAAUGGGUACUACAACGGGACGCAAUAUCGUAAGAUGGAGCAAAUCCUAAUAAAGGUAUGCUAAGUUCGGAUUGAGGUCUGCAAUUUGACCUCAUAAGUUGGAAUCG
rnacentral:rRNA from 1 species